GACGAACGCAGGCGGCGUGCUUAACACAUGCAAGUCGAACGGAAAGGCCCUGCUUUUGUGGGGUGCUCGAGUGGCGAACGGGUGAGUAACACGUGAGUAACCUGUCCUUGACUUUGGGAUAACUUCAGGAAACUGGGGCUAAUACCGGAUAGGAGCUCCUGCUGCAUGGUGGGGGUUGGAAAGUUUCGGCGGUUGGGGAUGGACUCGCGGCUUAUCAGCUUGUUGGUGGGGUAGUGGCUUACCAAGGCUUUGACGGGUAGCCGGCCUGAGAGGGUGACCGGCCACAUUGGGACUGAGAUACGGCCCAGACUCCUACGGGAGGCAGCAGUGGGGAAUAUUGCACAAUGGGCGGAAGCCUGAUGCAGCAACGCCGCGUGCGGGAUGACGGCCUUCGGGUUGUAAACCGCUUUCGCCUGUGACGAAGCGUGAGUGACGGUAAUGGGUAAAGAAGCACCGGCUAACUACGUG
rnacentral:rRNA from 1 species